UGUGUGUGUGUGUGUGUGUGUGUGUGCGUGUGUGUUACACACACACACCGCGCGCGCGCGCGCGAACACACACACACACU
rnacentral:pre_miRNA from 1 species